rnacentral:rRNA from 1 species
CCUACGGGUGGCUGCAGUCGGGAAUUUUGGGCAAUGGGCGAAAGCCUGACCCAGCAACGCCGCGUGAAGGAUGAAGUCUUUCGGGAUGUAAACUUCGAAAGAAUAGGAAGAAUUAAUGACGGUACUAUUUAUAAGGUCCGGCUAACUACGUGCCAGCAGCCGCGGUAAUACGUAGGGACCAAGCGUUGUUCGGAUUUACUGGGCGUAAAGGGCGCGUAGGCGGCGUGGUAAGUCACUUGUGAAAUCUCUGAGCUUAACUCAGAACUGCCAAGUGA